GUAGGGGGAACCGCAUGGCCAGUGGCCAGAGAAAAUUUUCCCAUAAUUCCCUUGGGCUUGGACUCAGGCUAUUGUAGAAUCUAUAGAAUGGGCACUCUGUGGCCAAAGUUCUGGGCUCUUGUUCCUUAUCCACUCCUGGCUGUGUGAAUUUGGGCAAGUCUGUAAUCUCUCUGAAUCACACUUUCCCAGAGAGGAUCACCUGUACCUCCCAGGUGUGUGGUGAGGAUGAAGGAGAAUGUGUCUGUAAAGCUACUGGAGGAGAAAUCCUGAAUAAAAACGCUGUUGCCAUAACAAUGCUCUCUGUCAGGGCCUGGUUGGGAUCACAAAGAUGAUACAGGAUUUUAGAGGAAGCUUUAAGACCCCCAAUGAAGUCACAGACUGAGAAAGUCUGGAUGAGGGAGCCUGACUGCAGCUGAAGAACAUCAGACAGAAGAUUUAAAAAAGGGGAGAGAGACAAGAGAAAGAGAAACAAGAGUCACACAGAGAGAAGAGAGUCAGAGAUUCAGAAAGAGACAGAGACAGAGAGACAGAGAAGGAAAGAAAGAAGCAAAUGGAACUCUAGAGCUCAGACCAAGGAGCCAAUUAGAAAGGAAGGGAUUUUUAAGAGGCCCUGGCUUAGAGCAUAAAAUCAAAUGGAUGGAGGUUUUGAGCUGUCACCUAGUCCAGACUCCUGCCUCGACAUACAAUGAAAACAGACAGCUGAAUUUCUGCUUUGCUUUUAAAGAACUCUGGAAAUUGAUAACCUGCCCCAGUGAUCAAUUCUUAUUGCUGAAUGGAACACCAUCCUUGGUAGUUGCUCAACAUAGUCAAACUGGUAGCUGCGCAAUGGGUCAUGAAGAGUAACCAAUCCUGUUCCUCUGCCCAGUUGUUAGAGAAGCAAGAUGGGGAAGACCUGUUCUUGAACCAAUCAAGUAUCUCCCUUCUUUGUUCAUAAGCUAACUGCUCCCAGGGAUUCAAUUCUUCUCCAUUUGAGGCUUUAUUUGGGAGACAUUGUUUUAAUACAGUCACUCACGCACUUUUAUCCUUGGCAAGACUUUUUUUUCCUCUAAUAGAGGAGCAGAAGGAAGGGGGU
rnacentral:lncRNA from 1 species